UACGGGGGGUGCGAGCGUUGUCCGGAAUCACUGGGCGUAAAGGGCGCGUAGGGGGCCUGAUAAGGGUGUGGUGAAAGUCCGGGGCUCAACCCCGGAUCUGCCGUGCCGACUGUUGGGCUGGAGUACUGUAGGGGCAGGCGGAAUUCCGGGUGUAGCGGUGGAAUGCGUAGAGAUCCGGAGGAAGACCGGUGGCGAAGGCGGCCUGCUGGGCAGUUACUGACACUGAGGCGCGACAGCGUGGGGAGCAAACAGG
rnacentral:rRNA from 1 species